rnacentral:lncRNA from 1 species
GGGGCUGGGGCGGGGCUGGGGCAGGGCUGGGGGGUGGAGCUUAGGGGAGGGCGGGGCCAGGGACAGACCAGGGGCCGGGUACCUGGCGUGGCUCCUUGGCCAGGGACAGUGGGCCCAGGCUAAGGCCAAGGUGGAGCCAGGGUCGGCUCUAGGAAGGCCAGUGUCUCCCAGGCUGGGUGGUCCUGCAGUGUGCAGACUGGAGCAGAAGGUCACUCCACAGUGGCUGCAUGUGGGAUGUGCAGUGAGGGGACUCUUCCACCCCAUCACAGGGACAGUCAGUGGCACCAGAGCUCCUCGGCCCUGCGGGGACCAGCAGGAGGAAGGCGAUCAGAAUUGAUUCUCAGAAGAUUGGUGAAGGAAAAAGCUUUGAAGGGUGAUCUCUCUGGGCCAGGCUAGUGGCCACUAUUUGGAAAACAAUGGCUCUCUUCUCCCCGGCAGGUGAGUUGGCCCCGGUCAUGAGUUACAUAGGCUUAGGUGGGCUUUGAUACCUUAAGUCGUAUAUUUGCCAUUUGGAGAAGUGGUGAGUGCAUUUAAGGAAAAACCCUAAAAAAAUAUGUUUAGGGAAAUAAACUGUUCAGGGAUCACA